rnacentral:lncRNA from 1 species
GUUUAUAUUUAUUUUAUUUCUGAAAUAUAUUAUAAUGUGGUGAUUAUAUUCGCAUAUUAUAGACUAUAAGUUUUACCAGUUAAUUAUACCAUGUAUUUUAGCAAGUCAGUAGCCUAUUUUCUUCAAGUGCUACUAAAACGUUCGGUCUAACUACUUGAUUUAUUGUUUAUUUAAUUUAUUUAAAAUGCUAUUUAAAGUAAUGAAUUUUGCUUUGGUCUGAUUUUAUAAGUGUGUGAUUAUUAUAUAUACGUGUUACUUAUUUUAUAUAAAAUCUCAGUGUAUUUUUAUAAUUUUGGAAAUAAUAGUAAUUAGUUUGUU